rnacentral:rRNA from 1 species
UACAGAGGUCUCAAGCGUUGUUCGGAUUCAUUGGGCGUAAAGGGUGUGUAGGUGGCGCCGUAAGUCGGGUGUGAAAUUUCGGAGCUUAACUCCGAAACUGCAUUCGAUACUGCGGUGCUUGAGGACUGGAGAGGAGACUGGAAUUCAUGGAGUAGCAGUGAAAUGCGCAGAUAUCAGGAGGAACACCAAUGGCGAAGGCAGCUCGCUGGGACGGUACUGACGCUGAGACGCGAAAGCGUGGGGAGCGAACAGG